CCCUACGUGAAGAUACUUUGGGGCAAUCACGAUGAACGGGAAGCCACUUCGGAACUGGAGAGUGCAAUGCAAGAGCAUUAUCCUUAUCUAUUUUCGAUGGAACCGUGAACUCGACCCCUGGACCUCUUCAGAUGGUGCUGGAGCUCAGAGAAGACUUCUUCACCUCCUCCACACUCUCUCUCUCUCUAGGGUUUUUCUCUCUCUACAACGAAAUCGCCGAUUUUGCUUGUUUUCGUCGCAACGUUGGUUUUCCGCUGGUUGCGAGCGUCGCUGAGCCUACGUGGUCGUGUGAGGGAGUAUUUUGAAGGGCUUUUCGCAGCCCUGAGCCAGUGAGGUGCUGGUUGGAAGAUAGAGAAGGUUUUUGAACUAUUUGGAGCUUACUUGGUGAUCUUGGGGACUGGUUUAGAAGUGUUCUAACCUGAGCGGGCUUGCAACGGACCUUCG